rnacentral:tRNA from 1 species
GCCCCAGUGGCCUAAUGGAUAAGGCAUCGGUCUCCUAAACCGGGGAUUGUGGGUUCAAGUCCCACGUGGGGUU